GAUGAAGAACGCAGCGAAAUGCGAUAAGUAGUGUGAAUUGCAGAAUUCAGUGAAUCAUCGAAUCUUUGAACGCACAUUGCGCCCCUUGGUAUUCCAUGGGGCAUCCCUGUUCGAGCGUCAUUUGUACCUUCAAGCUCUGCUUGGUGUUGGGUGUUUGUCUCGCCUCUGCGUGUAGACUCGCCUCAAAACAAUUGGCAGCCGGCGUAUUGAUUUCGGAGCGCAGUACAUCUCGCGCUUUGCACUCAUAACGACGACGUCCAAAAGUACAUUUUUACACUCUUGACCUCGGAUCAGGUAGGGAUACCCGCUGAACUUAAGCAUAUCAAUAAGCGGAGGA
rnacentral:misc_RNA from 1 species